AAAAACAUAGUAUUAAGAUUUAUUUAAUAUAGAAUCUGCUCAAUGAUUUAAUUUAAAUAGCUGCAGUAUUUUGACUGUGCAAAGGUAGCAUAAUAAUUAGUCUUUUAAUUGAGGACUGGAAUGAAAGAUUUGAUGAGAAAUAAACUUUAUUAUUUAUAAAAUUAAAAUUUUAUUUUUAAGUAAAAAAGCUUAAAUAUUUUAAAGGGACGAUAAGACCCUAUAAAACUUUAUAAUUAUUUUUAUUAAAAUAUUUGGUUAAUAAAAAUUUUAAUAUUUUUAAUUAUUUUAUUGGGGUGAUAAAAAAAAUUAUUUAACUUUUUUUAAAAAUUUACAUAAAUUAAUGAUAUUUUGAAUUAAAAAUUUUAAUUAAAUGAAAAAGUUACUUUAGGGAUAACAGCGUAAUUAAUUUUUUAAGUUCAAAUUUAAAAAUUAGUUUGCGACCUCGAUGUUGAAUUAAGAUUAAUCUUAGGUGCAAAAUUUUAAGUUUUAGGUCUGUUCGAC
rnacentral:rRNA from 1 species